rnacentral:rRNA from 10 species
GCCGCCGCUCGAACCUUUGACCACGGCGGCUGUCAGAAGGUUGGUCCUAAGGUAGCAAAAUUCCUUGACAGGUAAGUUCCGUCCAGCAUGAGCGGUGUAACGACUUCCUCACUGUCACUAGCCUGGUCUCUCAGAAAUUGAGUCAUCCUUGUUUACGAGGAAGCCAACGGCCAGACGGUAAGACCCUGAGCACCUUUCCUUCUUUCACCACCGGUUACAAGCGCUAGCCGCGGUGGUGAGAAUAGGUGCUCGAGGUCUCUCCGCCGGCGGCCGUCAACCGCACACCUCGAGAGCCUUCUAUGUUACAGGAACUCCAACAAACGUCCAACCUCAACCACAAACUUUCAUUUUCCAGACGUGGUUGAUGGACGGUUGGCCGGGAGUUUCCUGGAGAAGGCUCUCGAAGAAGAGGUGUGCGGUGGGCGAGGCCGUGGGCGAUAGCCGAUUCUCUUCUUUUAAUAAGCCUUCGGCCUGCAGGCCUGGGAGGAAGGCUUAAGAAGAGAAUGAAUCGCCCACCAACGCCUUCGCCCCCCGGCAGGAGCCUUGUCAUCGGUUAACCCUUGAUUAAAGGCUCGCCGGGGAUAACAGGUUCUUGAAUCCCAAGAGCUCCAAUGAAAGGAUUCUGAUGGCACCUCCAUGUCGUCUCAU